CCUUUGACGUUAGCGGCGGACGGGUGAGUAACACGUGGUAACCUACCUAUAAGACUGGGAUACUUCGGGAAACCGGAGCUAAUACCGGAUAAUAUUUCGAACCGCAUGGUUCGAUAGUGAAAGAUGGUUUUGCUAUCACUUAUAGAUGGACCCGCGCCGUAUUAGCUAGUUGGUAAGGUAACGGCUUACCAAGGCGACGAUACGUAGCCGACCUGAGAGGGUGAUCGGCCACACUGGAACUGAGACACGGUCCAGACUCCUACGGGAGGCAGCAGCC
rnacentral:rRNA from 1 species